rnacentral:rRNA from 1 species
UACGUAGGUGGCAAGCGUUGUCCGGAUUUACUGGGCGUAAAGAGCGCGCAGGCGGUCGUAUAAGUCGAAUGUGAAAGCCCCUGGCUCAACUAGGGAGAGUCAUUCGAUACUGUUCGACUCGAAGGCAGGAGAGGGAAGUGGAAUCCGGGUGUAGUGGUGGAAAUGACGUAGAUAUCCGGGAGGAACACCAGUGGCGAAGGCGACUUUCUGGCCUGUUCUUGACGCUGAGGCGCGAAAGCUAGGGGAGCAAACGGGG